CUCUCUCUCUCUCUCUCUCUCUCUCUCUCUCUCUCUCUCUCUCUCUCUCUCUCUCUCUCUCUCUCUCUCUCUCUCUCUCUCUCUCUCUCUCUCUCUCUCUCUCUCUCUCUCUCUCUCUCGCGUGUUAUCAUUAGAACACAAAUAUGUAAAGACUUGGACAUUGUGAAAACACUGCUUUGCUCUACAGACAACCCUUCCUCAACGCGAGUGUUUAUACCGCGACAAACAAAAACGUUUUACAGGAAGACGCUGCAGGAUCCCUUUGGCAUAUUGCACAACAACGAGGUCACUCCACGACUGGUUUCUAAGAAGAAUCAUGUUUUUUUUUUUUUUCUUUCCUUUGCUGUUUUUGUGAUAGAAGUGGAUCAGCGACCGUUGGAUUUCAUAAUGAGGGCUACUCGCGCUUCCUGGACCCCAUUAGUCUGUCACACAUAUGCUGACACAGAGAAAGUAAACAUACACACUGUCAAAGGUACGCACGCACUCAUGCUGACAGUACGACUCUACAGUCUACACAGCAAUAUCCUUUUAGCUUCACAUGUAUAUUUUGGGAGAGAAAAUCUUCAUUCGAUGGGAAGAAAGAUUUUGUAAUGCAAAGAAUGACCUUACUGAAUAAACAACAUUAGUAAAAACACCA